CGGAGCUUGCUCUGCUGGAUCAGUGGCGAACGGGUGAGUAACACGUGAGCAAUCUGCCCCUGACUCUGGGAUAAGCGCUGGAAACGGCGUCUAAUACCGGAUACGAGCUGCGAAGGCAUCUUCAGCAGCUGGAAAGAACUUCGGUCAGGGAUGAGCUCGCGGCCUAUCAGCUAGUUGGUGAGGUAACGGCUCACCAAGGCGUCGACGGGUAGCCGGCCUGAGAGGGUGACCGGCCACACUGGGACUGAGACACGGCCCAGACUCCUACGGGAGGCAGCAGUGGGGAAUAUUGCACAAUGGGCGCAAGCCUGAUGCAGCAACGCCGCGUGAGGGACGACGGCCUUCGGGUUGUAAACCUCUUUUAGCAGGGAAGAAGCGAAAGUGACGGUACCUGCAGAAAAAGCGCCGGCUAACUACGUGCCAGCAGCCGCGGUAAUACGUAGGGCGCAAGCGUUAUCCGGAAUUAUUGGGCGUAAAGAGCUCGUAGGCGGUUUGUCGCGUCUGCUGUGAAAACCCGAGGCUCAACCUCGGGCCUGCAGUGGGUACGGGCAGACUAGAGUGCGGUAGGGGAGAUUGGAAUUCCUGGUGUAGCGGUGGAAUGCGCAGAUAUCAGGAGGAACACCGAUGGCGAAGGCAGAUCUCUGGGCCGUAACUGACGCUGAGGAGCGAAAGGGUGGGGAGCAAACAGGCUUAGAUACCCUGGUAGUCCACCCCGUAAACGUUGGGAACUAGUUGUGGGG
rnacentral:rRNA from 1 species